GGGCAGCCCAUCGCCCACGCUGACCGUGAGGGUCCGACCGCCAACCUUGAGCACUGCCAAGUCGCCGAAGCCGCGGGAGAAGGAGUUGAUGGAGACCUCCAAGAAGCUGGUUCAAGCUCCCUAAACCCAGAGCUGGAGGAAGACCCUGCUGAACAGAUGACGUCACAGUCAGAGGCAGAAGCCCCAGGAUUGGUAGACAGACAGACGUUGGAAUGAGAGAAACAGAGUCCGGACCCCAGAUGGAGUUUCACUCCUGUUGCCUAGGCUGGAGUGCAAUGGCACGAUCUUGGCUCAUCGCAACCUCCGCCUCCCGAGUUCAAGCGAUUCUCCUGCCUCAGCCUCCCGAGAAGCUGGGAUUACAGGUAUGUGCCACCACGCCGGACUAAUUUUGUAUUUUUAGUAGAGAUGGGGUUUCUCCAUGUUGGUCAGGCUGGUCUCGAACUCCCAACCUCAGGACAUCUGCCCACCUCGGCCUCCCAAAGUGCUGGGAUUACAGGCAUGAGCCACCGCACACAGCUUGCUUUUUUUUUUUGAGACCGGGUUUUGCUCUGUUACCCAGGCUGGAACUCAGCGAUGCGAUCCUAGCUCACUGCAACCUUGACCUCCAGGGUUCAAGUGAUCCUCUCAUCUCAGCCUUCCGAGUAGCUGGGACCGUAGGAGCACACCACCAUGCCUGGCUAAUUUUUAUGUUUUUUGUAGAGAUGAGGUCUCACUAUGUUGUCCAGGCUGGCUUUGAACCCCCAGGCUCAAGCGAUCCUCUUAACUUAGCCUCCUAGAUAGCUGGGACUAUAGGUGUGAGUGAUUGUGUCUGGCUCGGUCUGUCUCUCUCUUUUUUUCUUUUCUUUUUUGAGACAGGGUCUCAUUCUGCUGUUGCCCAGGCUGGAGUGCAAUGGCACAAUCUCGACUCACUACAAGCUCUGCCUCCUGGGUUCAAGCAAUUCUCCUGCCUCAGACUCCUGAGUAGCUGGGAUUACAGGUGCCCAGCACCACACCUGGCUAAGUUUUAUAUUUUUAGUAGAGAUGGGGUUUCACCAUGUUGGCCAGGCUGGUCUCAAACUCCUGACCUCAGGUGAUCCACCCACCUCAGCCUCCCAAAGUGCUGGGAUUACAGGCGUGAGCCACUGCACCCAGCCUCUCUCUCUCUCUUUGUUAAAAAAAUCCCUGUCUCAGGACUGGGCAUAUUAACUCAUGCCUGUAGUCCCAGCACUUUGGCAGGCCAAGGCAGGAGGAUUGCUUGAGGCCAGGAGUUCAAGACCAAUCUGGGCAACAAAGUGAAACACCAACUCUACAAAAAAGUUUUAAAAUAUUAGCCAGGCAUGAUGGUGUGUGCCUGCGGUCCCAGCUACUUGAGAGGCUGAAGUGGGAGGAUUGCUUGAGCCCAGGAGGUGUAGACUGCAGUGACCUGUGAUCACACCACUGCACUCCAGCCUGGACAACAGAGCGAGUUCCUGUCUCAAAAAAAAAAAAAAAAAAAAAAAAGCGGGGAAUGGUGGCUCCCAUCUGUAAUCCCAGCACUUUGGGAGGCUGAGGUGGGUGGAUCACGAGGUCAGGAGUUUGAGACCAGUCUGGCCAAUAUGAUGAAACCCUGUCUCUACUAAAAAUACAAAAAUUAGCUGGGCAUGGUGGUGGGUGCCUGUAGUCCCAGCUGCUCGGGAGGCUGAGGCAGGAGAAUCACUUGAACUCUGGAGGCGGAGGUUGCAGUGAGCCGAGAUCAUGCCACUGCACUCCAGCCUGGGUGACAGAACGAGACUUUGUCUCAAAAAAAAAAAAAAAAAUCCCUGACUUACUUCCUCAGUCUCCUCUUGGAGCUUCCUGGGAUUGCCUCCCAGAAAAACCAUUUGUCUCUGAAUCCUUGCCUCAGGCUCUGCUUCUGGGGGAGGGGCAAAAUGAAGACAGCAGGGACUAUUGCCUUAUUGUUCAUGGCUGUGUCUCCAAGCACCCUAAACAGUACCUGGCACACAACAGGUGCUCAAUAAAUAAUUGCUGAAUGAAUGAACUAAGAGGCACGGUCCUUCCCAAAGCUUUAGAGGCAGAAGGAAGUAUCACUAUGGAGCCUGGGUAGGUUGGCACAGAGAGGUGGGAACGCGGUGGGGAGGGCUGGGGUGUCCCCUAGUUGCUAAGGGAUCCUCAUGGUCCUUCCACCCCACCCCCACCCCAGGAUCCCCCAUCCCUGACUGCUUGGCCGCCCACCUGCUCGGCCUUCAGGGUAAGUUCGAUAAAGAUUUGCUGCAGCUUCUCAUUGACGAAGUUGAUGCAAAACUGCUCGAAGCCAUUUUUCUGCAGAAGGAGGAAAAGGGUCCUUCCCUCAAUGUCCUGGUGCUGGAAGUUCUUGUGGCCACCCUGGGCUGCCCCAGGGAGGACAGGAUGUGGGCUGGAGGCAGGGGGCCGUACCUGGAAGAUCUCGAAGCCGUAAAUGUCCAGCACACCGAUGCUGUACUCUUCCUGGGGUUUCUGCAUAGCACGGUUGAUGGCCUGCGGUGUGGGUGGGGACAGGAAGUCAGUGGGCAUCGGUCAGAUCUGAAGCCCCUGCCCACCACUCCUUAGACACACGCCUAGCCAACUUCAUGGGUGAUGUCCCCUCAUGCCAGUUUCCCUCCAGCCCUCUUUAGCUCUGCCCUUCCUGGCUCUGUGUACAGUCUCCCCACCCCAUAAUCAGUCACUCAGAGGAGAAACCCAAGUGUCAGUGUAUCAGGGUCCCUGACUCCAGAGCUGACUCUGCCCCUGAACCUCUCUGCACCUCUAUUUUCUUUUUUUUUUUUUCUUUUUUUUUUUUGAGACGGAGUCUCACUCUGUCGCCCAGGCUGGAGUGCAGUGGCAUGAUCUCGGCUCACUGCAAGCUCCGCCUCCAGGGUUCACACCAUUCUCCUGCCUCAGCCUCCCAAGUAGCUGGAACUACAAGGGCCUGCCACCACGCCCGGCUAAUUUUUUGUAUUUUUAGUAGAGACGGGGUUUCACUGUGGUCUCGAUCUCCUGACCUCGUGAUCCGCCCGCCUCGGCCUCCCAAAGUGCCGGGAUUACAGGUGUGAGCCACUGCGCCCGGCCUUGCACCUCUAUUUUCUUAUCUUUAAAAGGGGUUGAUAAUAGCAACUACCUUAUGGGGCUUUUUCUUUUCUAUUUUUUUUGAGAUGGAGUCUCAUUCUGUUGCCCAGGCUGGAAUGCCAGUGGCGCAAUCUCGGCUCACUGAAACCUCUGCCUCCAGGAUUCAAGAGAUUCUUCUGCCUCAGCCUCCCAAGUAGCUGGGAUUACAGGCAUGCGCCACCACGCCCGGCUAAUUCUUGUAUUUUUAGUAGAGACGGGGUUUUGCCAUGCUGGCCAGGGCUGAUCUUGAACUCCUGACCUUGGGUGAUCUGCCCGCUUUGACCUCCCAAAGUGCUGGGAUUACAGGCAUGAGCCACUGCACCUGGCCAUACAUUUUAUACUUUAUUUAUUUUUAUUUUUUAUUUUGAGACAGGGUCUCAGUCUGUUGUCCAGGCUGGAGUGUAGUGGCUUGAUCAUGGCUCACUACAGCCUCAACCUCCUGGGGUCAGGGAUUCUUCCACCUCAGCCUCCUGAGUAGCCGGGAUUACAGGCACCAGCCACCAUGCCCGGCUAAUUUUUGUAUUUUUGUAGAGACAGGGUUUUGCCAUGUUGCCCAGGCUGACUCCAUACAUUAAAAAAGUUUUUAUUUUAUUUAUUUAUUUAUUUUGAGACAGAGUCUCUCUCUGUUGCCCAGGCUGGAAUACAAUAGCACGAUCUCAGCUCACUGCAACCUCCACCUCCCAGGUUCAAGUGAUUCUCCUCCCUCAGCCUCCCAAGUAGCUGGGAUUAAAGGCAUGUGCCACCACUCCCGGGUAAUUUUUAGUAGAGAGGGGGUUUCACCAUGUUGGCCAGGCUGGUCUCAAACUCCAGACCUCAAGUGAUCCAUCCACCUCAGCCUCCCAAAGUGCUGGGAUUACAGGCAUGAGCCACUGCAUCUGGCCAAAAGUUUUUUUUAGAGACAGGGUCUUGCUCUGUCACCCAGGCUGGAGUACAAUAGCGCAAUCAUAGCUCACUGCAGCCCCAACCUCCUGGGUUCAAAUGAUCCCCCAACCUCAGCCCUCUGAGUAGCCAGAACUACACAUGCACACCACUACACCCAACUAAUUUGAAAUUUCUGUAGAGAUGGGGGUCUUGCUAUGUUGCCCAGGCUGGUCUUGAACUUCUGGCCUCAAAGAAUGCUCCCAACUCAGCCACCCAAAGCAUUGGGAUUGCAGCCGUGAGCCACUGCACUCAGCUUCCAUAAAUGUUUGUGACCCCAGAGCAUCCACUCUGCCUUCCAGCCCCAGCCCCACUCGCCUCCACGAGGAAGUCGAAGAGGCGGGCAUAGAGCCCCUUGGCCAGGGCAUCACGGGUGUAGGCUGCCUGCUCCACGUUGAGGGUCACAUUGAUGGACUCGCUGCGCCCGCCCCAGCGGCUGUCCAUCUUGCGGCUGGUCAGCUUCUCCUGCAGUCGCCCGCUGUCAAUGCCCAGCAGGUAGGCGGGAAAGGCCAGGACUACCAGGGCAAAGGUCAGGGCAAAAAUGGGACAGUUGGUUGGGCUCUUGUGCCUCCUGCAUGGGCCUCCUAUUAUCCCCAUCUUGCCCAGUGACACCCACAUUUUUUUCCUCGUGGGCUUUCAGCUUCCUGGGGGCUGAGCUAGGAGGACGCAGUUCACCCACCCACAGGCCUCCAUCCAGCCCUCCCUGAUACCCACACUCACGGUCCACACUCUCCACUCGGGCGUAAUUCCCGUCUUCACAGAAACUGAUGUUCCCCAGGUGCAAGAUCCCCGCCACGAGCUGCAGGACCAGCUGCUGGAUGCUGGGCGGGAUCCCAAUAACCUGCAUAGCACUCUGUGGUACAACGGGGGCAGAAACUGUGCCGUGAAUCCUGGCCUCCAACCUGCCUCCAGGGGCAGGCUUGAGGGACCACAGCACGGACUCAGGGAGUGAGCACCCUUGGGUCCCUGUCCUACCCCUUUCAGUCACUUGCCGCGUGACCUUGGGUAAGUGCCUGCACCUCUCUGGGCUUUGUUUUUUAUUAUAUUUUUUAUUUUUGAGACAGAGUCUCCCUCUGUUGCCCAGGCUGGAGUGCAGUGGUAUGAUCUUGGCUCACUGCAACCUCCUCAUCCCAGGUUCAAGCGAUUUUCCUGCCUCCGCCUCCCGAGUAGCUGGGAUUACAGGCGUGAGCGUCGUGUCCGGACUGGGCUUUGGUUUCCUAUUUUUUUUUUUUUAGAGUCUCACUCUUUCACCCAGGCGGGAGUGCAGCGGCGCUAUCUUGGCUCACUGCAACCUCCACCUCCCGGGUUUAAGCGAUUCUCCUGCCUCAGCCUCCCUAGUAGCUGGGACUACAGGCGCAUGGCAUCAUACCCGGCUAAUCUUUGUAUUCUUAAUAAAGAUGGGGUUUCACUAUGUUGGCCAGGCUGGUCUUGAACUCCUGACCUCAGGUGAUCUACCUGCCUCGGCCUCCCAAAGUGCUGGGAUUACAGGUGUGAGCCACCGUGCCUGGCCUUUUUUUUUUUUUUUUUUGAGAUGUAGUCUCACUCUGUUGCCCAGGCUGGAGUGCAGUAGUGUGAUCUCGGCUCACUGCAACUUCCACCUCCCGUUUUCAAGCAAUUUUCCUGCCUCUGCCUCCCCAGUAGCUGGGAUUACAGUCACACGCCACCACAUCUGGCUAAUUUUUGUAUUUUAAGUAGAGACGGGGUUUAACCACGUUGGCCAGGCCGGUCUUAAACUCCUGACCUUAAGUGAUCUACCUGCCUCGGCCUCCCAAAGUGCUGGGAUUACAGGCUUGAGCCACAUGCCUGGCCUGGGCUUCGGUUUCCUAAUUUGUAACUCAGGAGGGUUUCUGGGGCUGAGGUCUGCCUGGCCGGGGACUGGAGUAGAGGCCGGUGCUCACCAGAGUCUCACCAAAGUCGCUUCUGUCGUCCGUGCCGUCCACCUGGUAGGUGUCCGAUUGGUUGAGGUAGUAAUAGUAGUCCGGUGUCAUGAGGCCCAGGUUCUGCCUUUGCUCCUGGGAGGCCCCUUCCAGCAGCUGGAGGGUGUGCCAUGUUCAUGCAUCUGGUGCUUGCCUGGCUCAGCCCCUGUGAUCCCUCAUCUGCCCUGCCAUGCCCCCCUAGGUGUUUACCUUCCCAUUGUCCACCCCGCUGGGCUCCAGGUGGUGCUCCCUCUCCCCCGGCCCCUUCCCUGCACCUGGUAGUAGAUGUGGAAGUUCCUCUCAUUUUCAUUUUGCAUGACCACGCGGGACUUCUCCAGCAAGAAGUUGGAGAUCUUGCCCCCAUCUGGCUCCCCACCUCGGCUGAACUGGAUCUCAAAGUACUUGCCCUGAAUCCGAGAGAACCAUGUCAGCACCCCAGUGUCCUGGGGUGCAGGUGGGGGAAGGGUUGGGGAUGGGUCUUAUGAGCCUUGCCUCUCUUCCCUUCUUCCUUUUUUUUUUGAGACAGAAUCUGACUCUGUUGCUCAGGCUGGGAUUCAGUGGCGCAAUGUCGGCUCACUGCAACGUCCACCUCCUGGGUUCAAGUGAUUCUCCUGCCUUAGCCUCCUGAGUAGCUGGGACUACAGGCACCCGCCACCAUGCCCAGCUAAUUUUUGUAUUUUUGGCAGAGCUAAUUUUUGUAUUUUUCAUCAUGUUGGCCAGGCUGGUCUUGAACUCCAGACCUCAAGUGAUCCGCCUGUCUCAGCCUCCCAAAGUGCUGGGAUUUCAGAUGUGAGCCCCCACACCCAGCCCAAGGGUAUGGAAUUUAUUAAACCAUGUCCAUGUGCAGGUGUAAUACUGAAGUCUAUGAGAUGGAUAUUAACAUCGUCACCAUUUUAUGGAUGAGCAAACAGAGGAAACUCAGGAAGUUGCAUAGAUUUUUUUCCCCCCCAGGCUACACAGCUCACAGUGAUAGAAUCAAACCCUGAAUCCAUAUCUGUUUACCUAUCCUGACUUUCACUGGGCCCAGCGCAGCACCCACACAAAGAACGAGUCCCAGAACUAUUGUCGAAAGAAGGAAUGGAUGAGGGAAUAAAUUGGACCUGAAAUGUGAAUGGGAACAAUGUAGCAUGGCUGCAGCCGGGGGAGCAUUUAAGAAUGUUACACAGGGGUGUCAUGGCCUCCACAGUUCUGCCAAUGGGGGACUCUCUUUUGAAAGGGACCAUGAGCAGGAAGUGAGUCUCCCCUUCAGGAGUAGGUAUUUCCUGCUGGGUUUUCAAUGGACUCUUGUCUUGGCAAUACGGGUGUGUGUAUGUGUGGGUGUGUGUGUAGAAAGGUCAGCACGGAGGGAGCAGCUGCUCCAAGCAGGUCUGCAGAGACUUACAAAGCGGCUGGAAUUGUUGUUGCGCACAGUCUUGGCGUUGCCGAAGGCCUCGAGCAGCGGGUUGGACUGCAGGAUGAUAUCUUUGACGUGCUGGGGCAGAGGCAGGUGGAGUGGGAAGAAGUCAGACUGAGGCAGGAGUGCAGAUGGGUGGGGCUGCACUACCAUGCAGGUGAGGGCGACCCAGCUUAUCCUUCUGUUUUCCUCGUCUCACCUGGACCUUCUCGCCUCCGCCAGACACCUUGGAGAUGUAGCCCAUGAUAUAUUUGGCUGCCACUGUCUUCCCAGCUCCACUCUCUCCACUGGGGAUGAAUGGAGGAAUAAAUGAUCAGUGGUUGGGGAAGAGCCCUUUUUAGUGCCUGACCAUUCAUUCAUUGAGCACCUACUGUGUGCCUGCCAGUAUUCCGGGUACUGGGGAUACUGUAAUGAACAAGACAGAUAAAAUCUCUGCUCUCAGCCGGGCAUGGUGGCUCCUGCCUGUAAUCCCAGCACUUUGGGAGCCUGAGGAGGGCGGAUCACUUGAGGUCAAAAGUUAGAGACCAGCCUGGCCAACAUGGUGAAACCCAGUCUCUACUAAAAUACAAAAAUUAGCCGGACAUGGUGGUGGGCGCCUGUAAUCCCGGCCACUCAGGAGGCUGAGGCAGGAGAAUUGCUUGAACCUGGGAGGCAGAGGUUGCAGUGAGCUGAGGUUGUGCCACUGCACUCCAGCCUGGGUGACAGACUGAGACUCUGUCACACACACACACACACACACACACACUCUCUCUCUCUCUCUCUCUCUCUCUCUCGCUCUCUUUCUCUCUCUCUGCUCUCAUAGAGCUGGCAUCGAUUGAUUGACUGAGAUGGGGUCUCACUCUGUUGCCCAGGCUGGAGUGCAGUGGUGUGAUCAUAGCACCUGUUCCUGCCUGGAACUCCUGGGCUCAAGCAAUCCUCCCUCCUCAGCCUCUUGAGUAGCUGGGGACUACAGGCGUGCACCACCGUGUCCGGCUAAUUAUUAUCUAUACAGAGACAGGAUGUUGCCAUAUUGCCCAGGCUGGUCUUGAACUCCUAGCCUCAAGAGAUCCUCUCGCCUUGGCCUCCCAAAGUGCCAGGAUUACAAGCAUGAGCCACUACACCUGGCCUGAGGUGACAUUUAGAGGGGACAGACAGACAAUAGCAGAAUGAAUCAAUAAAAUACAUCGUGAGUCAGAUGGUGACAAGGAAAAUAAAACAGAGUGAGGGCAGAGAGGGACAGCAGGGCAAUGUUCAGAUUGGGAGUUUCAGGCAAACCUCCCUGGGGGUGGUGAUGUUUCAGCAGGGGCCCGGGCAGCAGGGUCUGUGGCCCCCCAACUCUGUCCAUACCUAAUGAUGACACACUGGUUCUCACAGUCGAUAAGCAUGUUCCGGUACAUGUUGUCCGUGAGGGCGUAGAUGUGCGGGGGAUUCUCAUACUGGGCCUGGCAGGGGAGGUCAGGUCUCAGCCCAGGGCUGGGGGCCAGGAGUCUGGGGGCUGUGCCUCCCACCCAGCCCCAGCCUCACCGCGCCCUGAUAGAGGUCGAUCUCACGGUCGGUGAAGUAGGGCAUCUGCUUGAAGGGGUUUACAGAGAUGAGCACAGAGCCGAUGUAGGUCUGAGGGAUGGUUAAGGGUCGUGUGGUGUCCUGGUAGGUUUUGUCCUCCCUGUCCCCUCAUCCUGCCCCCACCCAGGGCUUCCUAAAACUCCAUUGCUUGGAGGUGGAAGAGAUGGAGAUAAUGGAUGCACCUCGAGUCUCUUGGAAAAAACAGGGCUGGCCGGGCGCGGUGGCUCAUGCCUGUAAUCCCAGCACUUUGGAAGGCCGAGGCAGGCGGAUCACUUGAGGUCAGGAGUUUGAGACCAGCCUGGCCAACAUGGUGAAACCUUGUCUCCACUAAUAAUACAAAAAAUUACCCGGGCAUGGUGGUGCAUGCCUGUAAUCCCGGCUACUUGGGAGGCUGAGGGAGGAGAAUCGCUUGAACCUGGGAGGCAGAGGUUGCAGCGAGCUAUCGUGCCAUUGCACUCCAGCCUGGGCAACAAGAGCCACUCAGUCUCAAAAACAAAACACAAAACACAAAAAGCAAAAACAAAAAAAUUAGCCAGGCAUGGUGGCGCAUGCCUAUAAUCCCAGCUACUUGGGAGGCUGAGGCAGGAGAAUCAUUUGAAUCCGGGAGGUGGAGGUUGCAGUGAGCUGAGAUUGUGCCACUACACUCCAGCCUGGAACCUGGGCGACAGAGCAAGACUCCGUCUCAAAAAAAAAAAAAAAAAAAAAAAAAAAAAAGAACAAACAGGGUUGGAUCCGGAAUGGGGGAAAUGGAACACGCUGGGGCUGAGCUUCCCCAGGACAGAGGGAGCAGUGGCAGCCACAGCUGCCCCCAACCAGAGCCCUGCUGUCACUCUGUCUGUCCUCUGUGUCACCACUUGGUGCUCUCCCGGCCCAUUCCUCCCUCUGCUCCUUCACCCUCCUCUCCGUCCAUGGCCCAGCCAUUCAUUCCUUCCCUGCCUGCCCACCCCCAGCCUUGGCCCAGGGUACGAAGAUGUAGUCGUCCAUGAAGCGCUUCCGGAGGUUGGCGGCAAUGGCGUCUUCGGUGAUCUGGGGAAGAAGCACCAUGUCAUCCACGCCGCUCUGCUUCACGUUGUGGCUCUGCCAGUGGAAGCGCUCCUUGCUGCCCUGGGGGGUGAGAGGGGGGUCGGGGUGAGCCCUUGCACGGGGAUGCGGCACCUGGCUCACCGACGCUAUCAGCUUCUGGGUUCUGUCCCACCUCCCCCGCCCCACCUCCAUUCCUCCUUCCCCAUCUCCAGGAGAGGCUGGCAGGGUCCAAGCCAGGCCCCCUGCCCCAGACAGAAGUUGCACUGCUCGGAUCCAG
rnacentral:lncRNA from 1 species